CUCAUAAUAUUUUUGAAAGGCAUCUUUUAAAAAUUAAAGUUCGACGGUUAUUGAUGGGCAUGCGUGGCAUUAGUUUGUUGGUGAGGUAACGGCUCACCAAGACAUCGAUGCCUAGGGGGCCUGAGAGGGUGAUCCCCCACACUGGUACUGAGACACGGACCAGACUCCUACGGGAGGCAGCAGUAAGGAAUAUUGGGCAAUGGACGAAAGUCUGACCCAGCCAUGCCGCGUGCAGGAUGACGGCCCUAGUGGUUGUAAACUGCUUUUAUACGGGAAGAAAAGUUCCAACGUGUUGGAAUGUGACUGUACCGUAUGAAUAAGCAUCGGCUAACUCCGUGCCAGCAGCCGCGGUAAUACGGAGGAUGCAAGCGUUAUCCGGAUUCAUUGGGUUUAAAGGGUGCGUAGGCGGAUUGGUAAGUCAGUGGUGAAAUCCUCUCGUUUAACGGGAGAAUUGCCGUUGAUACUAUCAAUCUUGAGUACACUUGAAGUGGGCGGAAUGUGUCAUGUAGCGGUGAAAUGCAUAGAUAUGACACAGAACACCGAUUGCGAAGGCAGCUCACUAAAUUUGUAACUGACGCUGAGGCACGAAAGCGUGGGGAGCAAACAGGAUUAGAUACCCUGGUAGUCCACGCUGUAAACGAUGAUCACUAGCUGUUGGCGAUACACUGUCAGCGGCUGAGCGAAAGUAUUAAGUGAUCCACCUGGGGAGUACGAUCGCAAGGUUGAAACUCAAAGGAAUUGACGGGGGCCCGCACAAGCGGAGGAGCAUGUGGUUUAAUUCGAUGAUACGCGAGGAACCUCACCUAGGCUUAAAUGCUUUUUGACCGUCCUGGAAACAGGAUUUCCCUUCGGGGCAAAUUGCAAGGUGCUGCAUGGUUGUCGUCAGCUCGUGCCGUGAGGUGUCGGGUUAAGUCCCAUAACGAGCGCAACCCCUAUUCUUAGUGACCAUCAGGUAAUGCUGGGAACUCUAAGGAAACUGCCUACGCAAGUAGUGAGGAAGGUGGGGAUGACGUCAAAUCAGCACG
rnacentral:rRNA from 1 species